GAUAGAGGUACGAAGACUAAGAACGCCGCGUCGUGCGGCACCGUCUUCAUGACCGACGUCGUGUCGG
rfam:Bacillus sp. FJAT-27916 Scaffold1, whole genome shotgun sequence.